rnacentral:rRNA from 1 species
AUGGUGCUCAUUUUCUGCUUGGUUUUACCUCAGGUGAUUGCAUUCAGCGAUGAGGAGGGCGUUAGAUUUCAGACAAUGUUUCUGGGAAGCGCCGCUGUAGCUGGUAUUCUACUUGAAUCAAUUUUGCAAUUAUCUGACAAGAGUGGCACUAACGUUCAAGAGGCUCUUCGGCUGAACUCCUUCGAGGCUAGCGUUGAUGCUCUUGGUCAAGUCAAGUACAGCCUGGAGUCUUAUUCAGAAUUAGAAGUUCAAAAGAAGAGUUCCAUGAAAGUCAAAAUCAAGAAAGAGCGUUAUGAAGUAUAA